rnacentral:rRNA from 1 species
CAGCAGCCGCGGUAAUACGGGGGAGGCAAGCGUUAUCCGGAAUUAUUGGGCGUAAAGCGUCCGCAGGUGGUCAGCCAAGUCUGCUGUCAAAUCAGGUUGCUUAACGACCUAAAGGCGGUGGAAACUGGCAGACUAGAGAGCAGUAGGGGUAGCAGGAAUUCCCAGUGUAGCGGUGAAAUGCGUAGAGAUUGGGAAGAACAUCGGUGGCGAAAGCGUGCUACUGGGCUGUAUCUGACACUCAGGGACGAAAGCUAGGGGAGCGAAAGGGAUUAGAUACCCCUGUAGUCCUAGCCGUAAACGAUGGAUACUAGGCGUGGCUUGUAUCGACCCGAGCCGUGCCGAAGCUAACGCGUUAAGUAUCCCGCCUGGGGAGUACGCACGCAAGUGUGAAACUCAAAGGAAUUGACGG